GAUCGACCUGAUUGUAGAUGUGUAGUUUUCAAUCUCUGUAGGGCCCUGUAGUGUAGAGGUCCCGGGAAGAUCGCCUGAAUGGAUGCUGAGAGGAGUCCAAUUAUCCUGGCUAGCUGUCGCACCGUUAGUGUCGGGCGACGUAACGUUCUGUGGAUCUCCUUUUUGAUGAUCUUGAUCUUUUCCUGCGGUAAAUUCAGUGUUCCCUGGACUGCUUUGAUAGUGAACCCUAGGAAUUCCAUGGACUGUGAGGGGAUCAACACCGACUUCUCCCAAUUGAUGAGAAAACCGAGGUUGCGCAAAAGCUGUAUUGCCCACGAUAAGUGUUGUUGGAGUAGGCUUACCUCCUGCGCCAUGAUCAAUAUAUCGUCCAAAUAAAUGAUCAUGCGCACUUCUCUG